rnacentral:rRNA from 1 species
CCUACGGGGGGCAGCAGUGAGGAAUAUUGGUCAAUGGGCGAGAGCCUGAACCAGCCAAGUAGCGUGAAGGAUGACGGCCCUAUGGGUUGUAAACUUCUUUUAUAUGGGAAUAAAAUGUGCCACGUGUGGGAUUUUGUAUGUACCUUAUGAAUAAGGAUCGGCUAACUCCGUGCCAGCAGCCGCGGUAAUACGGAGGAUCCGAGCGUUAUCCGGAUUUAUUGGGUUUAAAGGGUGCGUAGGUGGCUUGUUAAGUCAGUGGUGAAAGUUUGCGGCGCAACCGUAAAAUUGCCGUUGAAACUGGGAGUCUUGAGUAUAGUAGAGGCAGGCGGAAUUCGUGGUGUAGCGGUGAAAUGCUUAGAUAUCACGAAGAACUCCGAUUGCGAAGGCAGCUCACUGGACUGCAACUGACACUGAGGCUCGAAAGUGUGGGUAUCAAACAGGAUUAGAUACCCGGGUAGUC